rnacentral:lncRNA from 1 species
UAUCUUCCUGCCUCAGCCUCCUAGAGUGCUGGUAUUACAGGCAUGUGUCACCAGGCCUGGCUCUUGUCAUAAAUUUCACAAAGGUUUCUUUCCGAUCUGAUAUUGGCAGUCUGCCAACUCCCAACCCACAGAGGCAAACCAAGUCAACUGAUGUGUAUACCCGAUUUAUUAGAGAUCUCUUCAACGUAAAAAGAGGGGGUGUGUGGGAAUGGGGCAGGUGGGGCCUGGACCACAUACGGUAUUCUGUGGGGCCAGUGGCAGCUGUACUGUCAGGGGCGCCCACAGGUCUGGGCUGGAAGGACACGGCCUGGCUACUGGUGCCACAGGAAGCCAUGCUCCGGAUUGUCACACACCAGACCACAGGGACUGAUGAUGAGGGACUCCCAGUGGGUUAAGACACGAAGUUUGCAGUUUUUUGUUCUGAAAUGGUUCAGCCACAUGGAGACUGGGCUGGCCUGGGCAAUGGAACUUGUAAUCACCGGAGAGGAGGAGGUGUGUGUGGAGGGGAUGCUCGUCCUGGGUGGGGGGCGACAGAGGGGCUGUGGCGACAGUACCCUGGCAACGGACCCCGCAGGGACAGGAGUAUUGCACUGAGCCAGGUGUGGAGGUGAAUGAGGACAGUUGGGAUGGCCUGAGGGGAGGGGGACAGGCUGGAAGGGGACACAUGGAAAUUUCCACCUUGCCAGUCUAAGAAAAUGCCUCUCCAUUUUUACAGUACAGGGAUUCGGACAUUGUCCAGGGUCUGCAAGAGCAGCCGUCUGGAGAGUGCUGACUUCCAGACUCCACCUUCUGCAGUGGGACCAUGUCCUUGGGGGCCUGGGCAAGUGUGGCCACGAGAGGGACACCCAGAGGAAACGCUCCUGGACCCGCCCUGUGGUGGCCGUCACGUGUGAUAGCAGCUUGAGCAUCAGAAGUGCCCGCCCCAGGACACCUGGUCUCCGAUCCUGCACCCCAAGGCCCAGCCUAGCCGCUCUGGAAGUCAGAGGCUCUGACUCUGGGAACCAUGAGAACCAUGCUGGGAAGAGGCAGACAAGUCCACAGCCCUGAGCUCUGGCGGGAGGGUCAGCAGCAUUGGGGCGGGAAUAUAACGACCUGGGCAUUCUUGCUCACGGGCACCUGGGUCUGGGGAUGUCCCACAACACUGAGCCACUGGGGGCCACUCCUGAGGAUGCCCGUCCUGCACUGAGGCCCCCACACCUGAGCCAAGCACGGGAGGAUCUGCUGCCGGGAGGGGCAGCCCCAGCACAGAGGACAGCGAGACAGCAGGAAGAGGCACCUGGGGGCCUGUCCUGGAGUGUGAGCCUCACCUGGGCAGCCAGGCCCGAGCAGCCCAGGUCCCAAGGAAUGGCCUCGUCCCUGUGGGACACAUGCAGUGGAGGCAAAGGACCAAAGUGCGGUGGUGUGGAGUGUCUUCCUUUUCCGGUUUGUCUCUUUUCCCCUAAAAAGCACCACUUGCCUCUGUCUGUGCAAAGAAUAAGGACCCAAAAUAAAUACAGGACAGGACGCUCCGGAA